CAGCCAUCCUGCGAGGCAUUGAUCUAGUUUCUCUCUUGGUAUUUCCUUCGGCUUCAAGUUCUUGGAUUGAAAUCGUUUGGAUAUGUGUUCUAAUCUUGACGUGUAGAAGAUCCUGCCUUGAAUUUUGCCUUUCCUUGCGUUGGAUUUCAUCCUCUCAGCAAUUUAUUAUAGUUCUGCUUUUGGUUUUUGGUGCGGCUCUAUUUGGAAGCUUUAAGCUAAUGUUUGAGGAAACAUGGAUUCAAAGAAUUAUUUUCUACAUCAUAUUUUUUUGGGAACACGUGACAGUGCUGGAGGGCGAGUUACGUGAGAAAAUAUUGUCUGGGUGGUUUGGUUCCGUUACUUCCUCUUCAGUUUGCGCGAUUCUGAAUUAAUUUAUCAAGUCUUUUUUGAAAAUGGUGUCACACACUCCUCAUUUGUGCGAUCAUGAUGCUUAUAGCAGGGCAUGGUGACCCCUGACUUUAUAAUUAAUCUUUUUGGAACCUGUGACAGUGCUGGAGGGCGAGUUAUGUUGAGAACAUUUUGUCUGGCUGGUUUGGUUCCUUUACUUCCUCUUCAGUUUGCGCGAUUCUGAAUUAAUUUAACAAGUCUUUUUUGCAAAAUGGACACACACACUCCUCAUUUGUGCGGUCAUGAUGCUUAUAGCAGGGCAUGGUGACCCCUAACUUUAUAAUUAAUCUUUUUGGAACCUGUGACAGUGCUGGAGGGCGAGUUAUGUGAGAAAACUUUGUCUGGCUGGUUUGGUUCCUUUAUUUUGCGCGAUUCUGAAUUAAUUUAUCAAGUCUUUUUUGCAAAAUGGUGUCACACACUCCUCAUUUGUGCGAUCAUGAUGCUUAUAGCAGGGCAUGGUGACCCCUGACUUUAUAAUUAAUCUUUUUGGAACCUGUGACAGUGCUGGAGGGCGAGUUAUGUUGAGAACAUUUUGUCUGGCUGGUUUGGUUCCUUUACUUCCUCUUCAGUUUGCGCGAUUCUGAAUUAAUUUAUCAAGUCUUUUUUGCAAAUUGGUGUCACCCACUCCUCAUUUGUGCGAUCUUGAUGCUUAUAGCAGGGCAUGGUGACCCCUGACUUUAUAAUUAAUCUUUUUGGAACCUGUGACAGUGCUGGAGGGCGAGUUAUGUUGAGAACAUUUUGUCUGGCUGGUUUGGUUCCUUUACUUCCUCUUCAGUUUGCGCGAUUCUGAAUUAAUUUAUCAAGUCUUUUUUGCAAAAUGGUGUCACCCACUCCUCAUUUGUGCGAUCAUGAUGCUUAUAGCAGGGCAUGGUGACCCCUAACUUUAUAAUUAAUCUUUUUGGAACCUGUGACAGUGCUGGAGGGCGAGUUAUGUGAGAAAACUUUGUCUGGCUGGUUUGGUUCCUUUAUUUCCUCCAGUUUGCGCGAUUCUGAAUUAAUUUAACUAGUCUUUUUUGCAAAUUGGUAUCAUACUCUUCUCAUUUGUGCGAUCAUGAUGCUUAUAUCUGGCAUGGUGUCACUUAACUUUAUAAUAUUUUUUGGGAACCUGUGACAGUUCUGGAAGGCGAGUGAUGUGAGAAAAUGUAGUCUGGCUGGUUUGCUUCCUUUACUUCCUCUUCAGUUUGCACGAUUCUGAAUUAAUUUAACUAGUCUUUUUUGCAAAUGGCUUCCUCCUCAUUUGUGCGGUCAUGAUGCUUAUAGCAGGGCAUGGUGUCCCCUAACUUAAUUCUGGCUUGCAGUCAACAAUUUUCAUUCGUUUGCUCCACUUAUUUUAGAUGCUGUUUGUUUGUGGCUCCCAGGACCCCUUUAGUUUUCGAAUGAAAAAUGAAGUCUGCUUUUUCAGUGCUUCAAGGAAUGUUUGGGCUGGCAUAUUUCGGAAUCAACACUUGUGCGGUCAUGAUGCUUAUAUAGCAGGGCAUGGUGUCCCCUUACUUUAUUUUGGAUUGCAGUCAACAAUUCUCAUUCCUAACCCACUUAUCCUAGAUGCUGUUUGUUUGUGGCUCCCAGGACCCCUUUAGUUUUCGAAUGGAAAAUGACGUCUGCUUUUUCAGUGCUGUAAGGAAUGUUUGAGCUGGCAUAUUUCGUAAUUACCUCGGCGUUGCUUGGGCUGCUUCUUUUCAUUUUCACCCCGCCAAGAUUUUUUAUAGCUGAUCACUUUUCAACACUUAUGGACCAAGCAUCUUUAACUUCGAUUUCUCAUUUUGAUCAAUAAUUUUAUGUUGGCCUUUUGUUUUGCAUGUUUUCUUGGCCUUUUGUCAGUGGUUUUAUCUCUAUUUCCAACUUCAGCAACAGGACUGUUUUCUUUGCUCUUUUAUCUCCAUAUCCUUUUCAACUGCUGACAGCUCUCUCUCAACAAUCCUUUUAUUUGUUUUAUUUUGUGCAGAUAUUUUCUAGAUGAUUAUGUUUUCCACAAGAUCACCAAGUAUUUCCUUACUUUGCUUUUCUGAUUCAGCUUCCGAUCGCAGAUCAAAACAAAUGUUUCAUUCUAGUCAACAAGUUUAAUUUACCAAAACAUAACUAGGGUCUAACCAUCUCCCACUUGUUUUUCUAGGAUCCUUGCAAUUUAUCAAGGAACAUAUAUGGGCUGCAAUUUUUUGGGAGUAUUUAUUCCAUUAACUACCCUUGUCCUUCCUCAGCUUGUAUUAUUCUGUCUUGCAUUAAAUUUUGAUUGUUUAGCCUAAGAUUCCAAUUAUGUGUUUUCCAGGAGCAUGGAGUUGAACGAUGGGGUUUUUUUUUUAUUACAUGAUGCUUUGGAACCUGCUGUCCUCUUUCUAAUUUUGUAUUUGUAACUUACUCAGUUUCUAUAUUUGUACAUUACCCAGUUCUACUACUUUAAUAGAGGUUGGGUGAGAAUUGUAAUCGUGUGUUCUUUUAGGGAUCUAUCAAGCAUUAUAGGGAAUGCCCUCAAAGUAAACGAGGAAUUAUAACUUGGCGCAGUCGUUUCAAGCCAAGCCUCCAUUUUGAGCUGCCUUACCCUUUUCCUAGCGGGCUGCUUAAAGGAGGUGGUUUCUUGUUACUGGUUCUACCAGCUUCAAAGCUUUACCACUAGGAUCCAUUUUUUAUAUUCUCUCGUUUUUUUAAAAUAUUUCUAUGUUAAUUUUAUUUCAUUUUGUGCAGAUGUUUCUAGAUGAUGAUGUUUUCAAGAACAAUGCACCCAGUGUCUUCUAAUUGUUUUUUUACAUUUUAAUCUACAAUUUGUUCUUGGUUUUACAAAACAGUAACUUUUAUCUCCUCGUUUGUGUUAUUUUCCAGGACCAUUCAUGCUUGUUAAGGAAACCAUGAUCUAGAGUUAAGCCCUGGGAGUGUUCAUUAUGUUAACUUCUCCUUUUCUUUACCUGGUUAUUAUAUUUUAGUCUCAAGUUUUGAGUUUGUGUUAUUCCAGGAGCAUGGACUUUGAGCAUUUGAGUCUUUUACUUGUGCUAACAAAAUUGCAGUGACCUAAGUUUUUGCUUCGAUCAUUUAUGUUAGUGUUUGACCUUUAGUUGGACACUUUUCUAGGAUCCUUUUAAAUUUAUCAAGGACCAUGUUUGAACUACAUUCAACCCAGGAAGCAUUACCUACUUCUUUUCCUUUCUUUGCUUGUAUUUUCCUUUUAUCUUGCAUCAAGAUUUUGAGUGUCUGGUUUAAGAUUCUAAUUUAUGUCUUUCCAAGAGCAUGAUGUUCGAGCAAUGAGUGUCUGGUUCAAGAUUAAUUAAAAAAAAAUUAACCCUGGCCAGUCUUCAUUCUAUAAAUAGAGAUCAUCAUCCUCACAAUCCAUUACAUGCAACUGCAAAAUUAUGGAACUAUGUCUUUCUUUACCCUUUUGGUUUCAGAUUCUUGGCAGCCAUCUUCUCUCUUUUCAUCGUUUCUUUCUUUUGGUCUUUGUAGCUUUCUGCAAUCUUCUGCAAACUGUGAAGACCAUGGUUUCAGUGAUGAAGGAAAUUUAGGGUUUCUUGAACUAUGAAGUUUUUUUUAGUGAUGAUGAAUAUUUUUGGUUCAUUUUGCUUAUGAAUGGAGUUUGGAUCAUCGUGAGGCUGUUUUGUUUAAUUUGCUUUUGAUUCUACUACUUCCAGGAUUGAAAUUAAUUGGAUAUAUAUAUUCUAUUGGAAUCUUGGCGUGGAGAAGUUUCUGCCAUGUGUUUUUGUGAUAGAGAAUGGUAUAACAGUUUUGACAAGUUUUGUGUCCUUGAUCUUCCUUACCCGGUUUUUCAUAUGCUUUCAUCAAUUUUUUUGUCCUAGUUUCGCUCAGUGGCAUUGGAUGUUUCAAGAGAAUCCCUGACUAACAGGGAAUUAAUGGUAGGAGGCUAAUCAAGCUGUCAAUUUGAGAAAACAUACGAGUCAGAUUUAUUUUGGAAAGAUUAUUCUGCUAUUCUCAUACAAGUCAGAUUCUUUUUGGACCCUACUUGACAGUGAUUGGAGUGCUUGCCAUGGGAGAAAUUCUAGCCUAGCUGGUUUGAUUUCCUUUCUUUCUCUUCAGAUUGCACUGUUCUGAAUUAAAUAAAGCUAUUCUUGGCUGAAUGCUGUUAUACUCUGUGCAUUUGUACUGAUCAUGUUGCUUUCAGGAGGGCACGGUGUCUCUUAACUUUAUUUUGGUAUUGCAGUCAACAUUCUUAUUUUUCACCAUUUGUUUUAGAUUCUGUUUGUUUGAGGUUUCCUAGGACCCCAUUUGUUUUGUAAUGGAAAACAAAGUGUGGCUUGCUGUAAUGAAUGUUUGGCUGGCAAAGUUCUGGAACUAACUUGACAUUGAUUGAACCAAUAACUUUUCAACAGUAAUAGAUCAGGUGUCUUCAACUUUCUUCUCUCAUUUCAAUCAAUACUUUUGUCUUGGCUUUUUUCUUUGCAUGUUUUUCCUGGAUCCAUUCAGUCAUGGACUUCGUGCAAUGAGAGUUAUGCUAUGAAGCUUUUGAAACUUGCAUUGGAGACUAAGUUCCUCUGAGUCCUGUAUAAUCUACACUGGUUAAAUAGGUAGCAUUUGGGUAUUAUUGUGUGUCCUUCCAAGAGCUUGAGAUUUUUGCAGUGGUUUUUUUGUUACCUCCGAGCUGCUUCAAAUUUUACUUGCAAUGGGGCUGUUUUCUUUGCUCAUUUCUCUCCACAUCACUUUCAACUUCUGACAACUGUGUCAACAGUAGUUAUGCUUGCUUAUUUUUGUUUUAUUUUUUGCAGAUUUUUCUAGAUAAUAUUUUCAAUAAGAUAGCACCAAGUGUUUCCUAACUUUUCCCUUUCAUUUAUUUCAAAAUUAGUGUUUCUUAACUUUGUUUUUUUCAUUCUAGUCAACAAGUUUUAAUUUAUACUAAAAUAUAACUUGUGUCCGAUGUUUGCUUGCAUGUUUUUCCAGGAUCCCUCCAAGUUAUCAAGGAACAUAUAUGGAUUAUGAUUGCUUGGAGGUGUUUAUUUCAGAGUACUCUUUCCUCUGCCUUGCAUUAAAUUUGAGUGUUCAGACGAACAUUCUGAUUGAUUUUUUUUUCUAGAAGCUUAUAGUUGGACAAUGGUGAUUCUUUGCAACUUGCACUUCUAUUUUAAAUCUGUAUUUGUGUAUACAAUUUCUUCUUUAAUUCUUUUAGGAUAGUAGCAAGCAUUCUAGGGAAUGGGCAACUCGGUGCUGUCUGCUCAAGGCAAUGGUUUUUGUUACUGGGUCUAAGCUUUAUCAGUAGGAGCCAUCUUGCUUUACCUUGUUUUUCUUAUAAAUUCUUUUUUUGCCUUGCUUUGGAAUCUCUCUCUCAACAUUUUCUUAUGUUCAUUACUUUAAUUCCAUUUUGGGCAGACAUCUAGAUGGAGUUUUCUGAGAAAAAUGCAUCUAGUGUCUUGUAAUAUUAUUUUACAUUUCAAUCCACCGUUUUUCUUGACUCUACAAAAUAUUACUGUUGUUUAUUUUUCCAGUAUCCUUCUUGUUGUCAAGGAAUGCAUAUGAACUCGAGUUUAAGUCAGGGAGUGGUGUACGUGCUUUAUUGUACUGUAGUAAGUUUUUGUUUGUGUUAUUCCAGUGAACAAUUGAGUCUUUUGCUUGAUGCUCAUGAACUUGCAGUGAACUAAGUUUCUGCUUUGCUGUUUUAAAUGCUUCCAUCUGUUUAAUAGAGCUACAGUUCCAGAUUACUUGUGUAACUAGAAUUUUACCUUCAGUUGCAUGUUUGUGUAGGAUCCUUCCAAAAUGUAUCAAGAACCAUAUUUGGAUGACAAUUAGAUCCGGAUUCAUUGCCUACAUCUUUUCCUUUCUCUGCUUACAUUUUUUUUCCUUUAUGUAUGAUUUAAGAUUCCAACUUCCUGUCUUUCCAGGUGCAUGAAGUUGGAACUAUGAACGUCUUUUAUACGUGAUGCUUCAAACUUUGGAGUGCUCAUAAGUGAUUCUUUCUCUCUGCCUUUGUAUCUUUUAAUAAAAUUUGUACUUGUUUAAAAGGAGCUAGGCUUUGAGUUUUAAUUUUGUGUUCUUUUAGGAUGCCAUCAAGCAUUUAGGCAAUGGUUUGAAAGUAAACAAGGAAUUAUAAUUCCAGCUCCAAGCUAAGCUCCACCAAGAGGAUCCAUUUUUCUUUCCUAUUGUUUUCAUUAUCAGUUUUCAACAGUGAUGGAUCAAGUGCCUUUUCCUUUGUUUUCUCAUUUCAAUCGUUAAAUUUGUGUCUGCUUUUUGUUUGCAUUUUCUUCAGGAUUUGUUCAGUUUGAAAGGAACAUAUAACACUAGGAUUACCCUUCAAUUUAAUGCUUUUUGUAUUUUUCUGCGUGGCACUGGGACAUACUAGAGUGUGCUUAUUUGUAAGCUUUUGGUUUUCAGGUUCAUGGAGGCAUAUAUGGUGCUUUUGAAACUUCGACUGGAGACUAAAUUCAUCUUUAAUUCCUUUUCCAAGUCUUAUAUAGUUUAUAUGGGUUAAAUAACUAGCUUUUGAUAUUAAUCAUGUCUUCUUCCCCUAAUCUAUCAUCAACUGUUUUGAGGAAACUUGGUGUAGUUUGCUUGUGCUUUUUGCAGUGGCUUCUUGUUACUUUCUACCAACUUCAAAUCAACUUCACCAAUAGUGCUGUUUUUUAUCUCUCUUAUUUCCCCAUUAACUUCUGACCAUUCUUCUGCCUGCUUAAUUUUCUUUUAUUUUGUGCAGAUACAUUCUGGCUGAUAGUGUUUCCAACAAGAUUACACAGUUUCUUAAGAUGCCUUUCCAUUUUAGAUCAAAACAAGUUUUUGUUAAACGUUGCCUUUUCAUUCUAGUCAACAAGUUCUUAUAUUUAUUAAAAUAUAACUAGAGUCUGACCUUUACUUGCAAACUUUUUUCUAGGAUCCCUCCAAUUUAUCAAGGAUGUGGACUGCAGUUAUCUGGGAGUGUUUAUUUCAUUACCUACCCUUUCCUUUAUGUUCUGGUAUUUUUGUCUUGCUAGUUGUGUCGUUUCUGGAGAAUGAAGUUGAUAAUGAGUUUUUUUUCCUUACAUGAAGCUUUGGAGCUUGCAGUCCCCUUUUAACUCGGUGUAGUGGUUUGUAGGCAAGGAUGUUUUCAAGAACAAUGUACAAGUUUUGUUUUCAGGGUCAUCGACUCCGUGCGAUGAGAGCGCUUAAAUGGUGCUUUUGAAACUUCGACUGGAGACUAAAUUCAUCUUUAAUUCCUUUUCCAAGUCUUAUAUAGUUUAUAUGGGUUAAAUAACUAGCUUUUGAUAUUAAUCAUGUCUUCUUCCCCUAAUCUAUCAUCAACUGUUUUGAGGAAACUUGGUGUAGUUUGCUUGUGCUUUUUGCAGUGGCUUCUUGUUACUUUCUACCAACUUCAAAUCAACUUCACCAAUAGUGCUGUUUUUUAUCUCUCUUAUUUCCCCAUUAACUUCUGACCAUUCUUCUGCCUGCUUAAUUUUCUUUUAUUUUGUGCAGAUACAUUCUGGCUGAUAGUGUUUCCAACAAGAUUACACAGUUUCUUAAGAUGCCUUUCCAUUUUAGAUCAAAACAAGUUUUUGUUAAACGUUGCCUUUUCAUUCUAGUCAACAAGUUCUUAUAUUUAUUAAAAUAUAACUAGAGUCUGACCUUUACUUGCAAACUUUUUUCUAGGAUCCCUCCAAUUUAUCAAGGAUGUGGACUGCAGUUAUCUGGGAGUGUUUAUUUCAUUACCUACCCUUUCCUUUAUGUUCUGGUAUUUUUGUCUUGCUAGUUGUGUCGUUUCUGGAGAAUGAAGUUGAUAAUGAGUUUUUUUUCCUUACAUGAAGCUUUGGAGCUUGCAGUCCCCUUUUAACUCGGUGUAGUGGUUUGUAGGCAAGGAUGUUUUCAAGAACAAUGUACAAGUUUUGUUUUCAGGGUCAUCGACUCCGUGCGAUGAGAGCGCUUAAAUGGUGCUUUUGAAACUUCCACUGGAGAUUAAAUUCAUCUUUAAUUCCUUUUCCAAGUCUUAUAUAAUUUAUAUGGGUUAAAUAGCUAGCUUUUGAUAUUAAUCGUGUCUUCUCCCCCUAAUCUAUCAUCAACUGUUUUGAGGAAAUUUGGUGUAGUUUGCUUGUGCCUUUUGCAUUGGCUUGUUGUUACUUUCUUACCAACUUCAAAUGAACUUCACCAAUGGUGCUGUUUUUUAUCUCUCUUAUUUCCCCAUUUCAACUUCUGACCAUUCUUCUGCUUGCUUAAUUUUCUUUUAUUUUGUGCAGAUACUUUCUGGCUGAUAGUGUUUUCAACAAGAUUACAUAAAGAGUUUCUUAAGAUGCCUUUCCAUUUUAGAUCAAAACGAGUUUUUGUUAAACUUUGCCUUUUCAUUCUAGUAAGUUCUUAUAUUCACUAAAAUAUAACUAGUGUUUGACAUUAAACUUUUUUCUAGGAUCCUUCCAAUUUAACGAGGAUGUGGACUACAAUUAUCUGGGAGUGUUUAUUUCAUUACCUACCCUUUCCUUUCUUUGCUAGUAUUUUUGUCUUUUACUAAGAUGUGUCUUUUCUGGAGAAUGACUAGUGUCUGACAUUAAACUUUUUUCUAGGAUCCUUCCAAUUUAACGAGGAUGUGGACUACAAUUAUCUGGGAGUGUUUAUUUCAUUACCUACCCUUUCCUUUCUUUGCUAGUAUUUUUGUCUUUUACUAAGAUGUGUCUUUUCUGGAGAAUGAAGUUGAUAAUGAGUUUUUUGUAUUUUUUUUUUCUUACAUGAGGCUUUUGAGCUUGCAGUCCUCUUUUAACUCGGUGUAGUGGUUUGUAGGCAAGGAUGUUUUCAAGAACAAUGUACACGUAUUUUGUGACUAUUUUUACAUUUUAAUCCUUGAUUCUGUGAAAUUGUGACUGGUGUCUGUUCUGCUGCUUGCUUGUGUAUUUUUUCAGGAUCCUUAAGCUGUGUCAAGGGAUAUAUGCUAAUCAGGCUUAAGCUGGGGAGUGCUUGAUAAUAUUUCCUACUCCUUUCUUUCACCUGCUUAUGAUAUAUAGUCUUAAGUUUCAGUUCCAAUUUGUGUUAGGACUUCGAACAUUGGAGUCUUCUGCACUUGAGCCUCUGAAAUUUGCAGUGAGCUAAGUUUCUGCGUAGCUGUUUUAAACACAUUCAUUUGUGUAAUGGAGCUACAGUCCCAAGUUUAUUCAUGCUGCUAGUGUCUGACCUUUAGUGGUACCUUCUCAUCUAGGAUCUCUCCAAAUAAAUGAAGGAACAUAUUUGGACUAGAAUCAACCAAGGAUUGUUUAAUUCAUUACCUGCUUUUGUUUUUUGCCUUUUCUUGUAUUUUUUUAUGUUGCAUUGCAUUUUGAGUGUUUGGUCUAAGAACCUUAUUUUGUGUCAUUCCAGGAACAUGAAGUUCAAGCAACACUAGUCUUUUAUAUAUGAUGUUUCAGAAUUUUGCGCUACUUAAGUCCCUCUUCAACUCCUUUUUGUCGUAUUAAAUUUCCACCUGUUUAAUAGAGCUAGAGUCCUUGUUUUAAUUGUGUGUUUUUGUUGGAUCUCAUCAACCCUUUAGGGCAUGGACUAAAAUUAAACAAGGAAUUGUAACACGGUGCAGUCUGCUCAAGGCAGGUUCUACCAGCUCCAAGUCAAAGGUUUACCAAUAGGGGACAUUUUUCUGUACUAUUGUUUUCUUGAUACAUUCUUCCUUGAGUAUAUCAAAAUCUUUUAUUCUUGUUAAUUUUAAUUCUAUUUUGUGCAGUUGUUUUCCAAUAGGGGACAUUUUUCUGUACUCUUGUUUUCUUGAUACAUUCUUCCUUGAGUAUAUCGAAAUCUUUUAUUCUCGUUAAUUUUAAUUCUAUUUUGUGCAGGUGUUUUCUAGAUGAUGUUGUAUGCCAAGUGUCUUCUUACCUUGUUUCUACAUUUUAAACCACCACUUUUCUUUUGAUUCUAAAACAAUAGAGCUAGUGUCUGUGUUUUAAUUGUGUGUUUUAAUGGGAUCUCAUCAAGCAUUUUUAGGGCAUGGAUUGGAGGGUGUUUAUAUUCUUUGUGAUCAGAUGAUUGAUGCUUUUGAGAGCUUCUCUGCACUCUCUUCAUGUUUGUUGUUCUUCUGUUAUUUAUUUAUUAUUUUUAUUACUGCUGCUAUUAUUACUAGUAGUGGUGGUGGUGGUAAUAGUAGUAAGUAGUAUUUGACUUUAUACAAUCUCCUAUUAAAAUGAAAUUAAGUUAAAGAGUGAACAGGGUGACUUUAUAUGCGAUUUGCUAUAUCACUAAUUGUGAUGCCAGCAUGUGUUUUUUUGCAUUUAAGUUGUGUUUUUUAACUUAUGAUUUGGUUGUAUGUUUUUUCAGUGAAUGGGAGGUUAUUAGUAUGCUUGUCUUACUACAGCAGGUCUCCUUUGCCUUGUUCUUGAGGUUUUUCUUUGCUUCUUCCCCUGCUUCUUCCUCUAUAUCUUCUUGCUAAAUAUUUCUUGAGCAUUCUUUCUUAUUUUGCUUUCAGAAGCUUGUGAGUUGUUAAAUUGUCUGUUCAAAAUUGUUUUUGCAUUUUAAUCACCUUUUUUUUUACUUAACAAAACUAGAGUCUAAGCUCUGUUUGCAUGUUUAUAGGAUCUCUUUGUUUUUCUUAAUUAAAUAAAUUCCGGCCAAGAUAUACCAAGGAGUGUUCCUCUUGCUUUUGAUUCUUGUUGUUUCUAUUUGUACCAUCGACAACAUACCCAUUUGUUUCAGCAUCAAGGAGGAUCUCUUUGACUAUGUUUCUCAGGGUGUCUUCAAGAAUUACAAUGGUUUGUUUUCAAGUGUAAUCAAAUGAUAACAGCUCUCCACAACUGGCAAAGCACCAGAUGCGUUUUAAUUUGCUUUAAUUUGCUUUACAUCUAUGCUUACUAAUUAUCAAAUAGAGGUAAAAUCUGUAACUAGGUUUGCGCAUUUUUUAUGGAAAUUUGUUUUCAAUUAUUUUGUCUUGACAUGUUAUUCUCUCAUAAAUAUUUUCCCCUGUCAGCGGUUAUUUAUUCUACACAUUACAGAUGUUUUCAAAGAUAAUUAUUUUCCCAACAACUUGUAAACAUGUUGUUUCCUUAAUUUUGGUUGUGCAAUAUAAAUGAAAAUAAUCCGCUUCUACUUACAUCGAUUCUAAGCUUUUCUGUGUUUUUGGGUGGUCUUAAACUUACAAGGGAAUUUGUUGCUUUUGGGUCUUAGUAAUGUGUGACUUCUGAUUGCUCUGCUUUUUCUUCUAUAUGCUCUUGGUUUAGGUUUUGUUCCUUCAAAAUUGUCGGGCCAUCUAUUUUGCAGGCAGGGCAAAGCUCAAAAUUGUUGGGCAUUGAGUAAUGUCUUUUGCUUUUGCUGAUACAUGAAGUACUUCUUUCCUUUCUCAGACUGGGGAGUGUGUGUAACUCGGUUCUAUACGCGUCUAGUUUGCUUUGGGUUCAUCCUCUUUAACUCUCUCUUUGUACAUAUGAAGUGAUUGGCUGAAUUUGUUUUUACCUUUCAUCUUUUCAGGGUCCCAAGGCUCAUUUAUGAGGAGUGUUUCUUCAGGGUCUUGGUGAUGUGACAUCUGGUUAAUCAUAUUUUUUCCUCAAAGCUCUUAUUUCAGAUUCUCUCUCGAAGUUGUCUGAUCCUCUGCUUUUGCAAUUUGAUUAGAAAGUUACAAGUGAGCCAACUAUUGUUUCACUAAUGCUAUGGAUCUGCAAAUUUUCCCAUGUUGCUAUCUGCUCUGCCUUCAUUGUGCUGUUAUAGGUUUUUCCAAAUGGCUCCUCCUUUUCAAGUUCUGAGUAACAAGGUCAAGUUGGUUUUUGUUGGUGUGCUCUUGUUUAAGUUUAUUUUUAUAAAAUCCUGAAACUUCAACAGGAAUGAGAAUGGUGAAGCGAGUCCUUGAUGCUUGGGGUUGCUUUGGGAUACUAGAUGAGUUUCUGUUCUGGUUGUAAUCUUUCCUGCGAAAUUGUUCUUUUAUAGGAGGGUAAUUGAUGGAUCAGCUUCUUUUGGAGAUACAUGUAAAGAUCAGAUGGCAAGUGUUUCUAGAAGGUUCCUUUGCUUUUAAUUGAUUUCCUUUGCGUCAACUCUUGUUCUUUUCAUCAAUAUUUCUUGGCUUUGAGUCUUUUCUGGGGCUGAUGAACAUGGAUGAAGCUGCUAGCUACUGACAUUUCAACAGCUGGAAUGUCUUCUCCUUUCUCGUUAAAACACUUGUCUACCAUGCGGUGCCUUGUACUGUGUUUUUUUUGGAUCAGCGGAUGCUGGUCAAGUCUUGGAUAUUCUCAAUGUUUCGGGUUUGUGAAUUUUAGAAAUGGUAGUUUCAUGUCCAUUUGUCUUUGCUAAGUAAUGGUGGUGUUCUGAUGUUGGCUAUACUUGACGCAUGUGGUAGGCUUGACCUGCAGACCUGUGUCUCUGUUGCCUAUGCUCAUUGUGUUUUAGGAACCAGUGGAUGGCUAUUGACCCAUUGAAAGUCUUGCUGGCUGCUCAGUUUAUGGCUGAGUCUGGCUUAGUCUUCCUAUUAAAUGGCAGUGUCUACUUGGCUGUUGGAGUUGUUGAUGGAUGGCUGGUUAUUGUUUGGUGAAUUUGGUUUGCAGGGAUUACCAGCUGUGCUUCACUUUGGUAUUUUGGCUUUUUGUUUUUUGCCUGAGCUUCUGCUAUUUGAAGUUGUGGUCGAAUCAUGUUGCCAUAUCAAAUACUGAAUUUACUUCAUGGUUUGGGUUAAGAUUGCCUUUGGUAAUGUGUUGGAUCUUGUAAAAUAUUCUUUCACUUCUGAAUACCUGUGUACCAAUCUGAUGGUUUUCGAAGGUGUUUGAUAUCUCCCGCAUUAAGUACGUGUGAAAAACAAAGCUAUUGUUGUUGGAAUUGUCAAGUUGCUUUGCAUGGAUCGAGGUUUCUGUUUGUCCUUGAAUUUUGGUUCCGUGGUUUCAGAUUGUGGUAGUGAACGUUGAUCUGUCAAAGUGUUGUUCUAAGAGGAGCUACAGUUUUGCAAAGUAUGCAGCAAAUAUGAUUUUACAGCUCAAGUUGAUUCAGCUCACUGGAUGAGAACUCAUGGGAUGGUCAAGGCUCUUUCUGCCAACCAGUAAGUAAUGGAAGACCGUGAUGCUGGAACUUGAAGGCGAUGGCGUGUUUUUUUUUUCCAUGUAUAUAUUAAUACUCGAUUUACUGUUGUAUUUAUCUGUGCACUGCACGCACGAUUAAAUCAAUAGAAAGUAAUUUUUUCUUA